rnacentral:rRNA from 1 species
UACGAAGGGUGCAAGCGUUACUCGGAAUUACUGGGCGUAAAGCGUGCGUAGGUGGUUUUUAAGUCCGUUGUGAAAGCCCUGGGCUCAACCUGGGAAUGGCAGUGGAUACUGGAAAGCUAGAGUGCGGUAGAGGGUAGUGGAAUUCCCGGUGUAGCAGUGAAAUGCGUAGAGAUCGGGAGGAACACCAGUGGCGAAGGCGGCUACCUGGACCAGCACUGACACUGAGGCACGAAAGCGUGGGGAG